rnacentral:misc_RNA from 1 species
GAUGAAGAACGCAGCGAAAUGCGAUACGUAAUGUGAAUUGCAGAAUUCAGUGAAUCAUCGAGUCUUUGAACGCACAUUGCUCCCCCUGGUAUUCCGGGGGGCAUGCCUGUCCGAGCGUCAUUGCUGCCCUCAAGCACGGCUUGUGUGUUGGGCCUCUGUCCUCCUCCCGGGGGACGGGCCCGAAAGGCAGCGGCGGCACCGCGUCCGGUCCUCGAGCGUAUGGGGCUUCGUCACCCGCUCUUGUAGGCCCGGCCGGCGCUUGCCGACACAUCAAUCUUUUUUCCAGGUUGACCUCGGAUCAGGUAGGGAUACCCGCUGAACUUAAGCAUAUCAAUAAGCGGAGGA